UUUAAGGUCUGACCUGCUCAAUGAGAUAUUAAAUAGCCGCAGUAUUUUGACUGUGCAAAGGUAGCAUAAUAAUUAGUUUUUUAAUUGAAAGCUGGAAUGAAUGGUUGGACGAGAAAAUAGCUGUCUUUAUGAUAAUGAUUUAGAAUUUUAUUUUUAAGUAAGAAAGCUUAAAUGAAUUUAAAAGACGAGAAGACCCUAUAGAAUUUUAUAUUUAUUUAAUUAUCAUUAUUUUUAGGUAUGUAUUGUUAUGUAAUUAAUAAAAUAUUUUGUUGGGGUGAUAGGAAAAUUAAUUUAACUUUUUUUAAUUAGUACAUUAAUUUAUGGUUUGUUGAUCCAUUGUUUAUGAUUAUAAGAUGUAAUUACCUUAGGGAUAACAGCGUAAUUUUUUUUUAGAGUUCUUAUUGUAAGGAAAGUUUGCGACCUCGAUGUUGGAUUAAAAUUAACUUUUGGUGUAGGGGCUAAUGGGUUAGGUCUGUUCGACCUUUAAAAUUUUACA
rnacentral:rRNA from 1 species